AUUUGGAUAAAGCAGCUAAGCGCAAGGCAAAACAUGAGAAACUUAAGAAAAAAGGCUGACUAGAAUUGAAUUGUUAUUCAUGUGACACCUUAAGAUUAGUGGCCACUAUGAAGACAUCCUCCACUGAAUCUAUGAUAGCCACCAAAUUCUGCAAUCUUGCAGGCAGAACAUUAUGAAGAUGAUUGCGGAUAAGCAACGGCACAAGACAAAGGAGAUUAAAGAGGCUUGCAUUUCUCAUGUGCAGCUUGAUGACCUUAAAGAGAAUGGGAAAUUGUGUUGGAUGAAAACUUAA
rnacentral:lncRNA from 1 species